CGCCGUCGAUAAAAUCUUGGCUGAUUGGCUGCACGUCUCUUCGGAUUUGGUACUAUCCCCAUCUCUCUCUGAGACACACACACCACUCUCUCUCUCUCUCUCUUUGUGUCUGCUUGUGCUUGCUGACGAAGGUGCAUGUGUGUGUGUGCGCGCACGCGUGUGAUGUGCCGCUGACCGCUUUUAUGUGUGCUUGUGGCGAUGCUGCCUGUGAGUGUGAUUUUUGCCGCUAUCCUGCAUGAUUCUUGGUGAAUCGAGGAUGAGAGGAAGCCACCCAGAAAAUGGCCAGAAGGAAGCACCAUAUGUGCAGGUGUGCUCAUGUGUGUUAGAAGGUGAGUUUGUGCUUCUAAUUUCCUAAACAUUCCACAAACAGAAAACAGCUAUGGUUGGUGAUAAUAAUUAUUGGUGAACAUUGUUAUUGGUAAACCUGCAUGCUGUCCAUCUGCCUCUUCUUUCUGUUGCAACUAUUGAUGGCCAUUAUUAUUGCAAUUUUAUCCUAAUUUAUGUUCAGCUAUUACCAGGUUCUUUGAUUGAAUCCUAAUUCAAACUUCUAAUAUACACAAUACUUUUUGUGCAGUUAUAAGAUGAUGCAUACUCUGACAGUGCUUUGGCCACAUAAAAGGUAAAUCCAUCAUUGUGGAGAUGUCAAAGUCAUCACAAAAACAAGCAUCUGAACUUUCUUUUUGGGAUGAAACAAAU
rnacentral:lncRNA from 1 species